UACAGAGGGUGCAAGCGUUGUUCGGAAUCAUUGGGCGUAAAGGGCGUGUAGGCGGUUUGUUAAGUCAUGUGUGAAAUCCCUCGGCUCAACCGGGGAACGACGCAUGAAACUGACAAGCUAGAGUACCAAAGAGGGGGGUGGAAUUCCCGGUGUAGCGGUGAAAUGCGCAGAUAUCAGGAGGAACACCGGUGGCGAAGGCGGGUCUCUGGGCCGAUACUGACGCUGAGGAGCGAAAGCGUGGGGAGCGAACAGG
rnacentral:rRNA from 1 species